rnacentral:rRNA from 1 species
GUGGGGAAUAUUGGACAAUGGGCGAAAGCCUGAUCCAGCCAUGCCGCGUGAGUGAUGAAGGCCCUAGGGUUGUAAAGCUCUUUCACCGGUGAAGAUAAUGACGGUAACCGGAGAAGAAGCCCCGGCUAACUUCGUGCCAGCAGCCGCGGUAAUACGAAGGGGGCUAGCGUUGUUCGGAAUUACUGGGCGUAAAGCGCACGUAGGCGGACUAUUAAGUCAGGGGUGAAAUCCCGGGGCUCAACCCCGGAACUGCCUUUGAUACUGGUAGUCUCGAGUCCGGAAGAGGUGAGUGGAAUUCCGAGUGUAGAGGUGAAAUUCGUAGAUAUUCGGAGGAACACCAGUGGCGAAGGCGGCUCACUGGUCCGGUACUGACGCUGAGGUGCGAAAGCGUGGGGAGCAAACAGGAUUAGAAACCCUAGUAGUCC